rnacentral:rRNA from 1 species
GACGAACGCUGGCGGCGUGCUUAACACAUGCAAGUCGAACGGAAAGGCCCUGCUUUUGUGGGGUGCUCGAGUGGCGAACGGGUGAGUAACACGUGCGUAACCUGCCCUUGACUUUGGGAUAACUUCAGGAAACUGGGGCUAAUACCGGAUAGUAGCUCCUGCUGCAUGGUGGGGGUUGGAAAGUUUCGGCGGUUGGGGAUGGACUCGCGGCUUAUCAGCUUGUUGGUGGGGUAGUGGCUUACCAAGGCUUUGACGGGUAGCCGGCCUGAGAGGGUGACCGGCCACAUUGGGACUGAGAUACGGCCCAGACUCCUACGGGAGGCAGCAGUGGGGAAUAUUGCACAAUGGGCGGAAGCCUGAUGCAGCAACGCCGCGUGCGGGAUGACGGCCUUCGGGUUGUAAACCGCUUUCGCCUGUGACGAAGCGUGAGUGACGGUAAUGGGUAAAGAAGCACCGGCUAACUACGUG